CAGGACUAAAGAAUUCAGACCGAAAGCCCAAGGCCUGUUAUUUGGCGAUGCCUUCAUCGCGGAACUUAAAAGACAUGUGAACCUAUUCACUACCUUGAACAAGGCUCAAACCUCUCUCAAACAGGUGUUCCACACCCCAUCCACAAGAGGUGUUUUUGGAAGGGCUGGUCGACAACGGAACCGUGCCACCAGCCGAUUUUGGGCCUCAGGUUCCAGACCAUUCCCACAAGCCCCGAAUAUCUUCCCGUCUACGACGCAAAGACCCUCAUCGUUCCGAGGAACGGGGAGAACCAG